rnacentral:tRNA from 1 species
GGGGUUGUGGCUCAGUGGUAGAGCGCUCACCUAGCACAUUCAGGGCCCUGAGUUCGAUCCUCAGCACCACA